rnacentral:ncRNA from 1 species
UGAUAGAGGUGCGGUCGCCAUCAGUAGCUUAGUAAAACGCCGGGAAGCGUUAAGCGAAAGGGGUCUCCGCCGAAGAGCCGAUCAUUUUCCCGAGUGGCCGGUGUCUGGGUCGCAGGAGAACAUCCUGCGGACUGUCGCAAACUGCGGAGAGCUGUC